rnacentral:rRNA from 1 species
UACGUAGGGUGCGAGCGUUGUCCGGAAUUAUGGGGCGUAAAGAGCUUGUAGGCGGGUUGUCGCGUCUGCUGGGAAAAUCCGGGGCUCAACCCCGGACUUGCAGUGGGUACGGGCAGGCUAGAGUGUGGUAGGGGAGACUGGAAUUCCUGGUGUAGCGGUGAAAUGCGUAGAUAUCGGGAGGAACACCAGAGGCGAAGGCGGGUUACUGGGCUGAUACUGACGCUGAUGCGCGAAAGCCAGGGGAGCAAACGGG